rnacentral:ncRNA from 1 species
CUGCUGAGCGAAGCUUUGAACUGAAGCCCCAGUAAACGGCGGCCGUAACUAUAACGGUCCUAAGGUAGCGAAAUUCCUUGUCGGGUAAGUUCCGACCCGCACGAAAGGCGUAACGAUCUGGGCACUGUCUCAACGAGAGACUCGGUGAAAUUAUAGUACCUGUGAAGAUGCAGGUUACCCGCGACAGGACGGAAAGACCCCGUGGAGCUUUACUGUAGCCUGAUAUUGAAUUUUGGUACAGCUUGUACAGGAUAGGUAGGAGCCUGAGAAGCCGGAGCGCCAGCUUCGGUGGAGGCGUCGGUGGGAUACUACCCUGGCUGUAUUGAAAUUCUAACCCGCGGCCCUUAUCGGGCCGGGAGACAGUGUCAGGUGGGCAGUUUGACUGGGGCGGUCGCCUCCUAAAAUGUAACGGAGGCGCCCAAAGGUUCCCUCAGAAUGGUUGGAAAUCAUUCGCAGAGUGUAAAGGCACAAGGGGGCUUGACUGCGAGACCUACAAGUCGAGCAGGGACGAAAGUCGGGCUUAGUGAUCCGGUGGUUCCGCAUGGAAGGGCCAUCGCUCAACGGAUAAAAGCUACCCCGGGGAUAACAGGCUUAUCUCCCCCAAGAGUCCACAUCGACGGGGAGGUUUGGCACCUCGAUGUCGGCUCAUCGCAUCCUGGGGCU